UCCAGACUCCUACGGGAGGCAGCAGUAGGGAAUUUUGCGCAAUGGGCGAAAGCCUGACGCAGCAACGCCGCGUGAUCGAGACGCCCUUCGGGGUGUAAAGAUCUGUCAGUGGGGACGAAACUUGACGGUACCCACAGAGGAAGCAUCGGCUAACUCCGUGCCAGCAGCCGCGGUAAUACGGAGGAUGCGAGCGUUAUCCGGAUUUAUUGGGUUUAAAGGGUGCGCAGGCGGCCUGUUAAGUCAGCGGUAAAAGCCGGGGGCUCACCCCCGGGGAGCCGUUGAAACUGGCGGGCUGGAGUUGGAGAGAAGUACGCGGAAUGCGCGGUGUAGCGGUGAAAUGCUUAGAUAUCGCGCAGAACCCCGAUUGCGAAGGCAGCGUACCGGCUCCACACUGACGCUGAGGCACGAAAGCGUGGGUAUCGAACAGGAUUAGAUACCCCCGUAAC
rnacentral:rRNA from 1 species